CAGCUGUGCAGCACUACCGUCUACCACAGUCCACAGGUCUGACUGUCGUCCGAGGUCGUUAAAGACUACAGAUAGUAUGAUAUCAGUGGAUAUCACGUACUUCAGUUUUAAAUAAUAAUUUAAUAUUGUACUUCAAAGCGCAAUGAUUUGGAAGGGUAAUAUGUUUGCAUUCUUACAUAUAAUUUGAUUUUACACAGUGAAUAAUUCUUUGUAUUAAUAUUUUUACAGGAAAUAGCCAUUACAGACAUUGAACCAAGAACCACAAGAAUAGGGAUUAUGUAUAAAAAAUAAAUAUAAACUGAUAAUUAACUAGUAAACUGACACUACUGCAGUAUACUUAGAUAAAAAUUUAUAUAAUUUCAAUGUUUUUACAGUUUUAUCUCUACAAAAACACAUAACAUCUUGAUUUAAUAUAUUAUACAACUUACAGGAAUAAGAAUGUACUUGUGCC